UACGUAGGGUGCGAGCGUUGUUCGGAAUUACUGGGCGUAAAGCGUGUGUAGGCGGCUUUGCAAGUCGGAUGUGAAAGCCCCGGGCUCAACCCGGGAAGUGCACUCGAUACUGCAGAGCUUGAGUGUCGGAGAGGUUGGUGGAAUUCUCGGUGUAGAGGUGAAAUUCGUAGAUAUCGAGAGGAACACCGGCGGCGAAGGCGGCCAACUGGACGAACACUGACGCUAAGACACGAAAGCGUGGGGAGCAAACAGG
rnacentral:rRNA from 1 species